AUAUUUGGCUAAGAUCAAGUGUAGUAUCUGUUCUUAUCAGUUUAAUAUCUGAUACGUGAACCAUUGGUUCACAUGAUAUAAAAUUUAUUUUUUAAGUGAGAAAGGGCCAAUUGCAGUAGCUUGCUACCGAGGCCUUCAAGCAUUGCCCUUGCUUUUUGCACUACUGCAAGGGCUGGGUGCAUCCCUU